rnacentral:tRNA from 1 species
UCCCUUGUGGCUCAGACAGUAAAGAACCUGCUUGCAAUGCAGGAGACCUGGGUUCAAUUCCUGGGGCGGGAA